GAUGAAGAACGCAGCGAAAUGCGAUAAGUAAUGUGAAUUGCAGAAUUCCGUGAAUCAUCGAAUCUUUGAACGCACAUUGCGCCCUCUGGUAUUCCGGGGGGCAUGCCUGUCCGAGCGUCAUUUCAACCCUCAAGCCCCCGGGCUUGGUGUUGGGGAUCGGCGUGCCCUCGCGGCGCGCCGUCCCCUAAAUCUAGUGGCGGUCUCGCUGUAGCUUCCUCUGCGUAGUAGCAACACUCGCACUGGAUCGCAGCGCGGCCACGCCGUUAAACCCCCCACUUCUGAAAGUUUGACCUCGGAUCAGGUAGGAAUACCCGCUGAACUUAAGCAUAUCAAUAAGCGGAGGA
rnacentral:misc_RNA from 1 species